rnacentral:tRNA from 3 species
GCAGGUGUGGUGGAAUGGCAGACGCGUUGGACUCAAAAUCCAAUGUAGGUGACUACGUGUGGGUUCAAGUCCCACCACCUGCACCA